rnacentral:rRNA from 1 species
UGCUGACGAGUGGCGGACGGGUGAGUAAUGCUUGGGAAUCUGGCUUAUGGAGGGGGAUAACUACGGGAAACUGUAGCUAAUACCGCGUAGUAUCGGAAGAUGAAAGUGUGGGACCGCAAGGCCACAUGCCAUAAGAUGAGCCCAAGUGGGAUUAGGUAGUUGGUGGGGUAAAGGCCUACCAAGCCGACGAUCUCUAGCUGGUCUGAGAGGAUGACCAGUCACACUGGAACUGAGACACGGUCCAGACUCCUACGGGAGGCAGCAGUGGGGAAUAUUGCGCAAUGGGGGGAACCCUGACGCAGCCAUGCCGCGUGAAUGAAGAAGGCCUUCGGGUUGUAAAGUUCUUUCGGUGAUGAGGAAGGUGUUUGUUUUAAUAGAGCAAGCAAUUGACGUUAGUCACAGAAGAAGCACCGGCUAACUCCGUGCCAGCAGCCGCGGUAAUACGGAGGGUGCGAGCGUUAAUCGGAAUAACUGGGCGUAAAGGGCACGCAGGCGGUGACUUAAGUGAGAUGUGAAAUCCCCGAGCUUAACUUGGGAACUGCAUUUCAUACUGGGUUGCUAGAGUAUUUU